rnacentral:rRNA from 1 species
UACGUAGGGCGCAAGCGUUGUCCGGAAUCAUUGGGCGUAAGGAGCUCGUAGGCGGCCUGUUGCGUCCGCUGUGAAAUCCCGGGGCUUAACCCCGGGCGUGCAGUGGAUACGGGCUGGCUGGAGGCAGGCAGGGGAGAACGGAAUUCCCGGUGUAGCGGUGAAAGUGCGCAGAUAUCGGGAGGAACACCGGUGGCGAAGGCGGUUCUCUGGGCCUGUACUGACGCUGAGGAGCGAAAGCGUGGGGAGCGAACAGG